rnacentral:rRNA from 1 species
CUGGCUCAGGAUGAACGCUGGCGGCGUGCUUAACACAUGCAAGUCGAACGAAGCACCUGCUUACGAUCCCUUCGGGGUGACGAGCUUGUGACUGAGUGGCGGACGGGUGAGUAACGCGUGGGUAACCUACCGUAUG